UACGUAGGGGGCUAGCGUUGUCCGGAAUCAUUGGGCGUAAAGAGCGUGUAGGCGGCCCGGUAAGUCCGCUGUGAAAGUCGGGGGCUCAACCCUCGAAUGCCGGUGGAUACUGUCGGGCUAGAGUGCGGAAGAGGCGAGUGGAAUUCCUGGUGUAGCGGUGAAAUGCGCAGAUAUCAGGAGGAACACCGAUUGCGAAGGCAGCUCGCUGGGACGUAACUGACACUGAGGCGCGAAAGCGUGGGGAGCGAACAGG
rnacentral:rRNA from 1 species